GCGUACGGUGCGGACACGUGUGCACCUGCCUUUAUCUGGGGGAUAGCCUUUCGAAAGGAAGAUAAUACCCCAUAUUAUGUUGAUGGCAUCAUCGACAUUGAAAACUCCGGUGGAUAGAGAUGGGCACGCGCAGGGAUUAAAUAGUGGUGAGGUAACGGGCUCACCAAGUCUACAAUCUUUAGGGGGCCUGAAAGGGUGAUCCCCCACACUGGUACUGAAACCGGGACCAAACUCCUACGGGAGGCACAUGAGGAUAUGGGACAAUGGGUGAGAGCCUGAUCCAGCCAUCCCGCGUGAAGGACGACUGCCCUAUGGGUUGUAAACUUCCUUUGUAUAGGGAUAAACCUACCCUCGUGAGGGUAGCUGAAGGUACUAUACGAAUAAGCACCGGCUAACUCCGUGCCAGCAGCCGCGGUAAUACGGAGGGUGCAAGCGUUAUCCGGAUUUAUUGGGUUUAAAGGGUCCGUAGCGGAUCUGUAAGUCAGUGGUGAAAUCUCACAGCUUAACUGUGAAACUGCCAUUGAUACUGCAGGUCUUGAGUGUUGUUGAAGUAGCUGGAAUAAGUAGUGUAGCGGUGAAAUGCAUAGAUUUUACUUAGAA
rnacentral:rRNA from 1 species